CAGAUCAGUCCAGUCCUCUGCGUGACUGUGGGGCGGUUCCGAAAGCGCAGGGUCAGGGUACUUCCUCCAGACAUAAACACUGAGCAGAGACAUUUAGCUGACGGAAGCUGAUACCAAGUUUCAUGACGAUUGGCUAAGUGGUUCUCAUUUAAGCAUAAAGUAAUGGUCGCUGCAUUCUCACCUGUCCAUCUUCUGGAGCCCUCUGAUCUUCAUUUGAGGAGCUGGUUAAAUGACACAGCUUCA